rnacentral:rRNA from 1 species
CCUACGGGUGGCAGCAGUGGGGAAUAUUGGGCAAUGGACGAAACUCUGACCCAGCAAUGCCGCGUGAAUGAAGAAGGCCCUCGGAUUGUAAACUUCUUUUGUCAGGGAAGAAAUAAAUGACGGUACCUGAAGAAUAAGCUACGGCUAACUACGUGCCAGCAGCCGCGGUAAUACGUAGGGAGCAAGCGUUGUUCGGAAUGACUGGGCGUAAAGGGUGCGUAGGCGGGUGUAGAAGUUAGAAGUGAAAUUCCCAGGGCUUAACUCUGGUGCUGCUUCUAAAACUGUAUGGCUUGAGUGCAGUAGAGGUUAGCGGAAUUCCUAGUGUAGCGGUGGAAUGCGUAGAUAUUAGGAGGAACACCAGAGGCGAAGGCGGCUAACUGGACUGCAACUGACGCUGAGGCGCGAAAGUGUGGGGAGCAAACAGGAUUAGAUACCCCAGUAGUC